UGAGGAAUAUUGGUCAAUGGGCGAGAGCCUGAACCAGCCAAGUCGCGUGAAGGAAGACUGCCUUAUGGGUUGUAAACUUCUUUUAUACAGGAAUAAAAAGGCUUACGUGUAGGCCAUUGCAAGUACUGUAUGAAUAAGCAUCGGCUAACUCCGUGCCAGCAGCCGCGGUAAUACGGAGGAUGCGAGCGUUAUCCGGAUUUAUUGGGUUUAAAGGGUGCGCAGGCGGGCUUUUAAGUCAGCGGUGAAAUCUGGACGCUUAACGUCCAAACUGCCGUUGAAACUGGGAGUCUUGAGUAUGGAUGAAGUAGGCGGAAUCCGUUGUGUAGCGGUGACAUGCAUAGAUAUAACGAGGAACUCCGAUUGCGUAGGCAGCUUACUAAGCCAUAACUGACGCUCAUGCACGAAAGCGUGGGGAUCAAACAGGAUUAGAUACCCUGGUAGUCCACGCCGUAAAACGAUGAUUACUAGUUGUAUGCGAUAUGAUAGUAUGUGACUAAGCGAAAAGCGAUAAGUAAUCCACCUGGGGAGUACGCCGGCAACGGUGAAACUCAAAGGAAUUGACGGGGUCAUAGC
rnacentral:rRNA from 1 species